GAGGGAGGGAGAGAAGAGAGACCUUAACCAUAUGCUUUUUUAAUUAUUCUUAUUCUAACAUUGUUUUGGAGUGCUCUUAAAUAGAAAUGCAAUGUGUGGUGGCCUUGCAAUAAUUGGAAUACUCUUGUUCAAAUAGUGGCAAAGGAUUACAAGGGUAAUUCACUUGCAUCCAUAAUCAAGAGAUUGAGUUUUUGUUGCUCUGUCUAGCAAAUUUGGUUAGAAAGAAACAAUAGAAUUUUUACUAAAGAGAGAAAGACUGAGGAAAUUGUCAUUCAGAGCAGUAUUAGAAUGAUUAGGUUCAAAUCUCUUACAUUGAUGAAUGUCAAAAAAUCAAACUCUGAUGAUUGGUUCUGUCAAUCCGAGAAGCUUCCACAAUCAAUUAUCAAACUAUAAUUCUAAGUGUGUGAGCUCUGAUAUUGGAGGGUUGCGUGAUGGUGAGCAUACAAUGUAUGGUUUGUGUGAAUGUGAGUGUUGAGUGAUGGUGAGCUCAUAUAUGUGGGUUGAGUGAUGGAAGCCACAAAAGGUAGUUAUUCCUAUUUACUGUUUUACUUUCUGUUUAACUGUAUGUUUUGCAAACUGUCAAGUUGGUCUCAAGUUAGGGAUGGAGGAUUUGAAUGAGUGAGCAUAAAUUUAGGACAUCAAGAAAUGAUGUAAGCUUGAGGGUUGAGAGUUUGUACUACCGAAGUAUUCUAUCACUUUACAGGUGUUUAUGGCUGGUACAUUCUUUAGGGAGGUUCUUUAUUGUGGGUUAAGUGAUGAGAGCUACCUUAUGUUUUCUAACUGUUUUCAUGCAGGUUUUACACGUAGCUAGUACCUCUAUAAGGAACUCUUUGUCGUGAGUCAAGUAAAGAUUUGUUGAUCACUUUUGAGAUAGAGUGAAGGAGAAUCUCAAGAGGACUAAGCCGCAUUCUCGCGCCAGUCUCAGUGCAUCAACUUCUUAUAGAAAGUUGUUUGUCUUUAAAUUUCUUUUCUGGUCUUGGGUUUUAUGCUUUUUCAAGCAUACUCCUGCGGGCUGUGCAGGAGGUGAUAUUGUCCUGCUCAUGGUUACUUAAUUCAGUUUGAUGAUAUUUGUUUUCAUUUCUAUCCUUUGUGGGCUCUACUUGGGGACCAUGGUUCUAAAUCACUAUAUCAGGUAACAUAGCGGUAUCGAUAGCGAAGUAUCAGUAUCGGUAGUAUCGGUCAGUACAUAUCGAGAAUCAAGUGUCGUGAUGGUGAAAUUUUAAAAAUCAUUUCACAGGUUUUUCAGCUUUUUCUUUCUCGUAUCGGUCCAAACCGAUGAGAAUCAGCCCGUCACAACUUCUGUAACAGCAUGUGUAACGAUUACAGACUGCUACGUACAUAGACUGGGCCAAUUCUCUUGCAAUUUUCGAUCUCAGUGCUAUAUUGGCUUGUAUCCGCUGCAGUACUCCAUUUUUUCGAUACGAACUAGCUGAUAUGUAGCCUAUCGACCGAUUUUUAGAACUAUGUUGGGGACCCUCUUUUGUGUACCUGUUCAACCCCUUUUGCAUAUGGAUAUUGAACAGGAUGGGGGUUUAUAUUUGGGAAGACACAUGCUGAAGUACCAAGUCCUGCUACAGAAGAUUUUUAGCCUGAUCUAGCUUGUAUAGUAUACUAGGCUGGUUAGGUUUUCUUUUUGUGGCUAUUUAUUAUCUGAUUUUGCUUGGGUUUAGGCUCUGUAUUGGCUUGGUUUGGCUUGUUCUGAUGGGGCGCAUGAACAAGCAUUAUUUUAUUAGCCUUGUUUUUUUUUUUUGUUUUUUUUAUUUGAAUUUUUUUUUUUCGUAGGUGUUUUAGGUGUUGUAGAGCUCUGGCUUGUUAUUUCUAAUCUUUGUAUAGUUUCUGGUAGGGCAUGGGGUUUACCCUUUAGGUCUCGUUUGGGAAGUUGGUUAUUUUAAGUUUUGACAAUUUUUAUUUUUGACUAUUUUUAGUAGGCUAAAAUAGUUAUAUUUGGGAAGAAUGUUAAAUUUUUUUGUA